UACAGGGGGGGCAAGCGUUGUUCGGAAUUACUGGGCGUAAAGGGUCUGUAGGUGGCCAACUAAGGCAGACGUGAAAUCCCUCAGCUUAACUGGGGAACUGCGUCUGAUACUGGAUGGCUUGAGUGUGGGAGAGGAAUGCGGAAUUCCAGGUGUAGCGGUGAAAUGCGCAGAUAUCAGGAGGAACACCGGUGGCGAAGGCGGAUCUCUGGGCCUUACCUGACGCUCAGGCACGAAAGCUAGGGGAGCGAACAGG
rnacentral:rRNA from 1 species